AGGUUUAGGAUUUCUCUUGACUUCCUCUAGUAGCUAGUUUAGAGUUCCUAUCCUAGCUGUCUUCUUUCCUAGUAGCUCGGUUCUUAGGUAGGUAGCUUCCUAUCCUAUUCGCUAUUAGCUCGUAGCUCUCUUCUUGUAGCUAGGCAGUUAGUUGUUCCUAUCCGACUAGUAGGAAGCGCGGCUAUGGAACUAACAGAAUAGAUAGAGCGGCAACCGAUGCUACCAGCCUAUCGUACUUUAAGUCCGUCAGCUGAUAAACUAGAGAGACCUCAAAUGCUUUAUUUUAAAGCCUGCCUCGGCUACUACCAAGAAAUUCCCUCGAUCCCCAAGUCACGUCACUAACUUUCUGUUGAUCGCGUAGCUACUUAGUUCAUGUAUGCCACAGCAGCGGAAGGUAGCAUGAAGAAGAAAAAACCUCUAUCUCUUUCUUGCUCAGUAACCUGC
rnacentral:lncRNA from 1 species